AGCAGCCGCGGUAAUUCCAGCUCCAAUAGCGUAUAUUAAAGUUGUUGCAGUUAAAAAGCUCGUAGUUGAAUUUCGGGGUUCAUCCGUUGGUCGGGCUUUUUGGUCUGUACUGGCGUGAUGGAUUCCUACCUUCUGAAUAACCGGCAUGCCAUUAAUUUGGUGCGCCGGGGAAGCAGGACUGUUACCUUGAAAAAAUUAGAGUGCUUAAAGCAGGCUUAUGCCUGAAUACAUUAGCAUGGAAUAAUGAAAUAGGACGGCAUGGUUCUAUUUUGUUGGUUUCUAGGAUCACCGUAAUGAUUAAUAGGGAUAGUUGGGGGCAUUAGUAUUCAAUUGUCAGAGGUGAAAUUCUUGGAUUUAUUGAAGACUAACUACUGCGAAAGCAUUUGCCAAGGAUGUUUUCAUUAAUCAAGAACGAAAGUUAGGGGAUCGAAGACGAUCAGAUACCGUCGUAGUCUUAACCAUAAACUAUGCCGACUAGGGAUCGGAUGAUGUUAAUUUUUUAAUGACUCAUUCGGCGCCU
rnacentral:rRNA from 1 species